GAUGAACGCUGGCGGCGUGCUUAACACAUGCAAGUCGAACGAAGCAUUUAGAACAGAUUACUUCGGUUUGAAGUUCUUUAUGACUGAGUGGCGGACGGGUGAGUAACGCGUGGGUAACCUGCCUUGUACUGGGGGAUAGCAGCUGGAAACGGCUGGUAAUACCGCAUAAGCGCACAAUGUUGCAUGACAUGGUGUGAAAAACUCCGGUGGUAUAAGAUGGACCCGCGUCUGAUUAGCUAGUUGGUGAGAUAACAGCCCACCAAGGCGACGAUCAGUAGCCGACCUGAGAGGGUGACCGGCCACAUUGGGACUAGGACACAGCCCAGACUCCUACGGGAGGCAGCAGUGGGGAAUAUUGCACAAUGGAGGAAACUCUGAUGCAGCGACGCCGCGUGAGUGAAGAAGUAAUUCGUUAUGUAAAGCUCUAUCAGCAGGGAAGAUAGUGACGGUACCUGACUAAGAAGCUCCGGCUAAAUACGUG
rnacentral:rRNA from 1 species